AACGAACGCUGGCGGCAUGCCUAACACAUGCAAGUCGAACGAAGCCUUCGGGCUUAGUGGCGCACGGGUGCGUCACGCGUGGGAAUCUGCCCCUUGCUUCGGAAUAACAGUUAGAAAUGACUGCUAAUACCGGAUGAAGUCUUCGGACCAAAGAUUUAUCGGCACGGGAUGAGCCCGCGUAGGAUUAGGUAGUUGGUGGGGUAAAGGCCUACCAAGCCGACGAUCCUUAGCUGGGCUGAGAGGAUGAUCAGCCACACUGGGACUGAGACGCGGCCCAGACUCCUACGGGAGGCAGGAGUGGGGGAUAGUGGACAAUGGACGCAAGUCUGAUGGAGCAAUGCCGGGUGAAUGAUGAAGGCCUUAGGGUUGUAAAGCUCUUUUACCAGGGAUGAUAAUGACAGUACCUGGAGAAUAAGCUACGGCUAACUCCGUG
rnacentral:rRNA from 1 species